rnacentral:rRNA from 1 species
GUAAAAGUGAAUAUUAUUGGUUUAAGUAGUUAGUUUAAGUAUUUAUGUUUAUUAAAAUUUUAAUUUUUAGGUGAAAUUUUAAUUUUUUUAUAAUUAUUCCAAAAUGAAGCUAUNNAAUUUAUUUUACAAACAAGGAUUAGAUACCCUUUUAUUUUAAAUGUUAAAAUUUUAAACCAGGGUAUUAAUUGUUAUGUUCUUCAAACCCAAAGAAUUUGGCGGUGCUUUAGUCCUUUCAGAGGAAUCUGUCCCGUAAUCGACAUUCCACGAUAUUAAGUACUUAUUUUUGUUUUCAGUUUGUAUACCUCCGUCGUAAGAGAAUCUUUUUAGAGUUUAAUUUUCUUAAUAUAUUAAAUAUAUUAUGUCAGGUCAAGGUGCAAUUUAUAAAUAAGUGGAGAUGGAUUACAAUAAAUUUAUUUAAACGGAUUAAAUUAUUUAAUUUUUUAUGAAGGUGGAUUUGAUUGUAAUUUUAAUAGUUUAUUAUUAUGAUUAAUGGCUCUAAAGCAUGCCACACAUCGCCCGUCGCUCUCAUUAUUAAAAUGAGAUAAGUCGUAACAUAGUAGGUGUAUCGGAAGAUGUACCUAGAAAGUUAA